AACGGAUCUCUUGGCUCUCGCAUCGAUGAAGAACGCAGCGAAUCGCGAUAUGUAAUGUGAAUUGCAGAUCUACAGUGAAUCAUCGAAUCUUUGAACGCACCUUGCGCUCCUCGGUGUUCCGAGGAGCAUGCCUGUUCGAGUGUCUGUAAAUUCUCAACCC
rnacentral:rRNA from 1 species